GACGAACGCUGGCGGCGUGCUUAACACAUGCAAGUCGAACGGAAAGGCCUGCUUUCCCUUGUGGAUUGCGGGUACUCGAGUGGCGAACGGGUGAGUAACACGUGAGUGAUCUGCCCCCAACUUGGGUAUAAGCCUGGGAAACUGGGUCUAAUUCCCGAUAGGACUGCAGGGUGGUGCCUGUGGUGGAAAACGAUUUUCUAGUGGUUGGGGAUGAGCUCGCGGCCUAUCAGCUUGUUGGUGGGGUAAUGGCCUACCAAGGCGGCGACGGGUAGCCGGCCUGAGAGGGUGGACGGCCACAUUGGGACUGAGAUACGGCCCAGACUCCUACGGGAGGCAGCAGUGGGGAAUAUUGCACAAUGGGCGGAAGCCUGAGGCAGCGACGCCGCGUGGGGGAUGACGGCCUUCGGGUUGUAAACUCCUUUCGACCGCGAGGAAGCCACCUGGUUGGAAGGGUGGUGACGGUAGUGGUAGAAGAAGCACCGGCUAACUACGUG
rnacentral:rRNA from 1 species